GUUCGUGCUGAAGGCCUGUUUCCUAGGCUACAAUCGGAGGACUCGUUUCUCACCUAUUUGCCUAGGGGAAAGUCCCCGGACCUUGGGCAGAAAGUGCCGCGUGCUCACGCACGUAGACUUGUCCGCGUUUCACGCUUAGUCCGCUAAGAAGCGAACUCAGCUGGGGGAGCUGAGCGGUGUGUUGCGGAACGUUGUCCGUCUACUCUCCUAGUGACGCAGGCAGUGCGAUGUCUGUUCGCGCACCAACCACACGGGGCUCAUUCUCAGUGCGAC
rnacentral:RNase_MRP_RNA from 1 species